rnacentral:rRNA from 1 species
GACGAACGCUGGCGGCGUGCUUAACACAUGCAAGUCGAACGGAAAGGCCCUGCUUUUGUGGGGUGCUCGAGUGGCGAACGGGUGAGUAACACGUGAGUAAACUGCCCUUGACUUUGGGAUAACUUCAGGAAACUGGGGCUAAUACCGGGUAGGAGCUCCUGCUGCAUGGUGGGGGUUGGAAAGUUUCGGCGGUUGGGGAUGGACGCGCGGCUUAUCAGCUUGUUGGUGGGGUAGUGGCUUACCAAGGCUUUGACGGGUAGCCGGCCUGAGAGCGUGACCGGCGACAUUGGUACUGAGAUACGGCCCAGACUCCUACGGGAGGCAGCAGUGGGGAAUAUUGCACAAUGGGCGGAAGCCUGAUGCAGCAACGCCGCGUGCGGGAUGACGGCCUUCGAGUGGUAAACCGCUUUCUCCUGUGACGAAGCGUUAGUGACGGUAAUGGGUAAAGAAGCACCGGCUAACUACGUG